CAGGUCUUGACAUCCCUUGACAACUCCAGAGAUGGAGCGUUCCCUUCGGGGACAAGGUGACAGGUGGUGCAUGGUUGUCGUCAGCUCGUGUCGUGAGAUGUUGGGUUAAGUCCCGCAACGAGCGCAACCCUUAUUAUUAGUUGCCAGCAUUCAGUUGGGCACUCUAGUGAGACUGCCGGUGACAAACCGGAGGAAGGUGGGGAUGACGUCAAAUCAUCAUGCCCCUUAUGACCUGGGCUACACACGUGCUACAAUGGCGUAUACAACGAGUUGCCAACCCGCGAGGGUGAGCUAAUCUCUUAAAGUACGUCUCAGUUCGGAUUGUAGUCUGCAACUCGCCUACAUGAAGUCGGAAUCGCUAGUAAUCGCGGAUCAGCACGCCGCGGUGAAUACGUUCCC
rnacentral:rRNA from 1 species